ensembl:lncRNA
AUGCAGUUCGAAUCUCUUGAAUACAAUAACACCUCCAACUGGACUUACUGUGGUCUGGGAAGCAGAGUGAAGCCGAACAGUUCACACAGUACACAAAGAGACAAUUAUGGAUCGCACUGGAUGGAGGGACAGCGGGAGAGAGGAGAGCGAGCGAGAGAUAAUAGAGGCUUGUCUAUCCCUGAUGGGAUGGAGAUAUUCUCCUUAAGUGUCACCCUCUUCUCACUGUAUCCAAGACUAGCAGUCAAUGUGUCCAUUAAGCAGCGUGAAUGAAUACAUGCCCACAAGCACAAGAUCGCAUUCACUGGGCCCAUAUUCCAUUAGUUCAAUGAAGUAAAAGUUUAAUGUGUGUUCAAAUAAAAUGUGUUUAAAAACAAAAUUGCUUAGGGGACUGUAUAAUGGGGUUGCAUAAUGGGGUCCAAAAAAUCUGAGACCAAAAUAUUUAUAUCUGGAAAUAAACAAAGUUUUAAGAUGUUAAGAAAAUUAAAAAAGAAUCAUUAUGAUAUUUUUAAUUUUGCAUUAUUGUUAUUAUUAUUUUAAUGAAUUGCCUUUUAUUUUUUGCACUAUAAAUGUCACAGUCACUAGCUGGAGUGCCCUUGAUGGCCAAUAGAGGGCACUCCAUCAAGGACUUCAUUCCCCAUAAUCCUCUGCCCGGUCUCAUAAGCAUUCAUUGUUUGCACUUGUGUCUCAUUAGCAUUGUUAGUUCAACCUAUAUAAGCCCGGUUGACGCUGUCAUUCAUUGCUAAGUUGUUCUAGUGUCUAAACUGCAGUUUUGAGCCUCGUUUCCUAGUUUUGUGCUGUUGUUAUAAUUUGGACUGUGUUAUGACCUUUGCCUGCUUUUGGAAUUUGAUUGUGGAUUACCCCUUUAAUAAAUACUGCGUCUGGAUCCUCAACCUUCAUGUCCCCAUGCAGUUUUAUUACAAUAAAACUAGAAAUAAACAAUAUUUUAAGAUUUUAAACAAAAUAAAACAGAAAUAUUAUGAUGCAAAAUGAAUAAAAGUAGCAUUAUUUUUGCACUAUAAUCCUAUAAAUAAAUAAAAUAAAAUAAUAAAAAAAUAAUGCAAAAUGAAUAAAACAUUUUAAAAGUUUUUGUUUUUUUUUUGUUUUUUUUUUGCACUAUAAACCAGAAAAUAAUCAAAGUUUUAAGAUUUUAAACAAUUGAAAAAUGUACUUUAUAAGUAGACAUUAUUUUAAGUGUGCAAAGUUUUUUGGAGCACCUUUAUACCAAAGCUUUACCAUUUUGUCCCCUGGGCUGAUAAGAGACAGUUGGGCUUCAAUAGUUUUGAACGUGGUUACAAUAAGAAACCUCUAAUCAUCAUCAUCAUCAUCAUCAUCAUCAUCAUAAUUUACCGUGUAAUUGAUGGAAAAACAAAGAACUUAAAUUCAUUCAACCACAAAUUCCUGUGAUUUGUUCUGGCAAUCAGCUCUCUCCAACACCCUCUGUUGGGAAUUACACUUGUCUGGAAUACGAGCGAACAGGUCACACUCAAAGCAUUCCAAGAUUCAGAACUUGGGAGAGUUUUGGAAAAUGUGCAGCUGUGUCCAGAUGGUCAUUAACAUGGACGCCUGCAGCAAUGAACAAACUUAGAUAGUGUUGCGUUAGAUAGUUAGGAAUUAAAUGAGUUAGAUAGGAAUUGAUGGGGAGUUUAGAUGCUUGAUUUGUAAAAUAUGAAUAUAUUACAGUAACAGCAGAGCAAUUAUUGAUGGGGGGAGGAUUGGGGGUUUGUGUGUGUAUGCUUGGUGAAAACAUGAUCUAGCAUGCAUUAAUAUUUGAAUAAAUGUAUUUGCAUAUAGACCUACUGGCAAAAUGAAUGGAUGUGUGUGUGUGUGUGUGUGUGUGUGUGUGUGUGUGUGUGUGUGUGUGUCUGUGUGUGUGUGUGUUUGGGAGAAACUAGAGCAUCAGGAUCUGGUGAAGUCUUCUUACACACCAGGUGUUGCUGUAGCACUUGUGCUGCAUCAGCAAAUAGCUUGGAAAUAUGAGAGUGUAUAAUAUAAAACACACAUACACACACUUUGCUUAAAUAGCUUUGAGGCUGCAGCAUGCCCUUUAAAAACACCUGCACAUGAUGGAUGUGCAAGAUUUGAACACAUAUAACCAAUGAUCAGCAUAUGGCUGCAUGGGUCGAUGACAUGAUGCUUAUUUUAUUUAUUUAUUUAUUUAUUUUGUCUGUUUUUAUUAUUAUUUGUUUUCAAAAUGCAUUAAAAUAUAUAGUUCAUACAUGCAAUGAUAUCUCUUUUAAGAUCCGCAUGUUUUUAAAUUUUAUUUAUGAUAUAUUUUGUCUGUAAAAGCUAAGUGAAGAAGAAUAAACCUCAUUAAAUUAAUUUAAGUUUUGAAUAGAAAUACAAAUAAAAAAAUAAGUAGUUUGCCAUAGUAUUUUUAUUACUUUUAUAGUAUUGAUAUUACUACUAAUAUACUUGGUGUUCCUGUUGCUCAGUGGUAGAGCAUUGUGUUAGUAGUGCAAAAGGUUGUGGGUUCAAUUCCCAGGGUGUAUAUAUAUAUAUAUAUAUAUAUAUAUAUAUAUAUAGCAUGAAUGCACUGUAAGUCACUUAGGAUGAAAGUGUCUGCUAAAUUCAGAAAUGUUAUGUGAAUGCAAUAUUAUUUUAUUAUUAAAUGUCUCUCAUAAUAAAAGAUAAUUUGACCUUUUUAUGACAAGACAUGGUUAGUUCCGAUUGCAAAAAAUGUCAGGUGGUUUGAAUCCCCCAAAAUACAUAAUAAUUAAUAAUUCAUGAUGUUGAUAAACACUAUUU